CUAUGUUCUACCCCAGCUACUGCUGGCAAGAGAAAGAUGAGACGCUUUAUUUCUCAGUCUCAUAAAAGAGUGCAACAGUGUGUCGGCCGACUCUGGUACGCCUUUAUGUUUAUGGCACUGUCCAGCUUUCUGCGAAUAGGUAACUUUUCUUCCCCCUUAGUUUAUUAAAUCAGGAGGGGGGAAAGUACAUGAAGUGUCAUUGUGGUGUUCUGCUGACUGUGAAAAAAGCUGACAUUGGUUAAAAACGAGAGGGUUGAGAACAGCAUCCUGGGACACGGAAAAUCUACCAUUUUACAUCUAGAAAAACGAAGGCACAAAGAAACAGUGUCAGGGUAGCAAAAUAACAUGGAAUUUGGAACCAAA
rnacentral:lncRNA from 10 species